GACGAACGCUGGCGGCGUGCCUAAUACAUGCAAGUAGAACGCUGAAGGAGGAGCUUGCUUCUCUGGAUGAGUUGCGAACGGGUGAGUAACGCGUAGGUAACCUGCCUGGUAGCGGGGGAUAACUAUUGGAAACGAUAGCUAAUACCGCAUAAUAUUGACUAUUGCAUGAUAGUCAGUUGAAAGGUGCAACUGCACCACUACCAGAUGGACCUGCGUUGUAUUAGCUAGUUGGUGGGGUAACGGCUCACCAAGGCGACGAUACAUAGCCGACCUGAGAGGGGGAUCGGCCACACUGGGACUGAGACACGGCCCAGACUCCUACGGGAGGCAGCAGUAGGGAAUCUUGGGCAAUGGACGGAAGUCUGACCGAGCAACGCCGCGUGAGUGAAGAAGGUUUUCGGAUCGUAAAGCUCUGUUGUAAGAGAAGAACGAGUGUGAGAGUGGAAAGCUCACACUGUGACGGUAUCUGACCAGAAAGGGACGGCUAACUACGUG
rnacentral:rRNA from 1 species